rnacentral:rRNA from 1 species
UGCGAGCGUUAAUCGGAAUUACUGGGCGUAAAGCGUGCGCAGGCGGUUUUGUAAGACAGAUGUGAAUCCCCGGGCUUAACCUGGGAACUGCGUUUGUGACUGCAAGACUUGAGUGCGGCAGAGGGGGGUGGAAUUCCACGUGUAGCAGUGAAAUGCGUAGAGAUGUGGAGGAACACCGAUGGCGAAGGCAGCCCCCUGGGUCGACACUGACGCUCAUGCACGAAAGCGUGGGUAGCAAACAGGAUUAGAUACCCUGGUAGUCCACGCCCUAAACGAUGCCAACUAGGUGUUGGGGAAGGAGACUUCCUUAGUACCGUAGCUAACGCGUGAAGUUGGCCGCCUGGGGAGUACGGUCGCAAGAUUAAAACUCAAAGGAAUUGACGGGGACCCGCACAAGCGGUGGAUGAUGUGGAUUAAUUCGAUGCAACGCGAAAAACCUUACCUACCCUUGACAUGCCAGGAAUCCCGGAGAGAUUUGGGAGUGCUCGAAAAGAGAACCUGGACACAGGU